UACAGAGGUGGCAAGCGUUGUUCGGAAUUACUGGGCGUAAAGGGCGCGUAGGCGGCCCGUCAAGUCCCGUGUGAAAGCCCCCGGCUCAACCGGGGAACGGCGCGGGAAACUAGCAGGCUUGAGUUCGGGAGAGGGAAGCGGAAUUCCGGGUGUAGCGGUGAAAUGCGCAGAUAUCCGGAGGAACACCAGUGGCGAAGGCGACUACCUGGCCGUGCUCUUGACGCUGAGGCGCGAAAGCUAGGGGAGCAAACGG
rnacentral:rRNA from 1 species